GGUGCGAGUAGCUGCAGCAGCAACGCGCGGUGCCGAGUCUGUCCUCCCCGGACCCAGAGCCGGCUCCCCACUAGUCCCGGAACCCGCCUUGGUUGGGCACCACCACGCGUGGACUCGUUAACAUACAUCUAUCUCCCCUUUCAGCAGUGUGUGUGCGCGCUGUGUGUGUGUGAGAGAGAGAGAGAGAGAGAACUACCCGUCUCGGAUUGCUUCCCUUACUGCGGGCUGUUGCAGGUCCAAUGACGUCCAGACUAUUAUGGCCAUUUCUUUCCUUGCUUGGAAUAUGCUUGUUGAUGGCAGAAGGAUGGUUGGAAAAGAAACCCCCCAGGAAGCUACUUAUACGUGGAGCUGCACUCAAAGAGGGUGAGCGUUUAUUGAAGAGAAGAGGU